ensembl:lncRNA AGBL1-AS1 AGBL1 antisense RNA 1
UCAUCCUCAUCCAGCCUGUGAUGAUGGAGCUGUUUUCACCAGAAACGUGAGGAGACUCAUACCACUUGAGUUCUGCUUAAAUUCAGCAUCUUCUCUCAGUUCAAAUUUAAGAAAGGAGAUACCACACCACCCACCGACAUAUCCCAUUCUGGAAGAGUAUACAAACUAAAGAUAGAAAACUUCUCAAAUCUACCUGGAAGCUUGCAUAUUCAAAGGAACUAUUUGUUGGAGUGCCAGAUUAUUUAAGGGCCUUUGCAUGUUUCAAGUCCUCUUCUUAAAGUAAGAAUACUCUCCACAUUUAUAACAGCAACAAAAACACCAAUGUCAGCACAAAAUGCAAAAACGGAGGCACUUCUAUGUCAUAAUGAUACAUCAGAGUUCUGCUCAACUCUUUUUUAGAAAAAGAAGCUCAGACUUACACACAUCCACUUUCUUAAAUAAAUAAUUGUUCAAUGAAAGUUACCCUGGGAGGAUUGCUGUCUCCAGCUCCCAAGCACUGCUCAUCUGCUGACGGGGGGUACUCUGUGACUGUUACAGAAAUUGCUCUUAAAUGCAUAAAACACAGAAGAGAAUUUUUGGAAAAUCCCUUAUUAUUCAUUAAAGCAUUUUAGGGCCUCAUUAAUCCAGAUGGGUUAAUCGGUUGUUGAUUUGCCAGGUUGUUAAGCAUCCAUUGUCAGAUGCUGAUGGGGUGUGAGAAAAUAUAAUUCCGAUCUACCAAAGAGUCACCUGAAUGAGGCUAGCACUUCAUCAGGGAAGGCUGUAUCUUCCUCAGGGAAGGCUGUGUCUUCAUCAGGGAAGGCUGUAUCUUCCUCAGAGAAGGCUGUAGCUUCCUCAGAGAAGGGUGUAUCUUUACCAGGGAAGGCUAUGUCUUCAUCAGGGAAGGCUGUAUCUUCCUCAGAGAAGGCUGUAUCUUCACCAGGGAAGGCUGUAUCUUCAUUACGGAAGGCAGUAUCUUCUGGGGAUAAAUUAAGCUGGGCAUCCAGCUUCUUCUUUAAUUUCCAAAACUUCUCUGUAUCACAAAACAUUCCUCAUUCUUUGGGUGUUUUUUUUUUGUUUUUUUGUUUUUUUUUUUUUUGCCUACCUAAGGUCUGAAAUGAUGUCAGAAGCCAUUUUCAAAAGCUAGUUCGUAACAGGUCAACAGGUCAGUCGCACAUAUGCACUUAGGCACAGAAGCCCAACAUUUAAAGAUGUUUGUGUGUACGUGUCUGUAUACGUGUAUACACAUCUGUGUAUAUGUUUGUGUCUACACAUGUAUACACGUCUAGGCGUAUAUGUUUGUGUCUACACGUCUGUGUAUAUGUUUGUGUCUACAUGUGUCUAUGUGUUUGUCUAUAUGUCCAUAUGCGUAUAUUUGUGUGUGUCUGCGUGUGUGUGCAUGAGUUUGGCUUUGACUUUGUUUCAAAGUUCUUAGCUAGAGCCUGUCCACAUCUUCAGCCCUUCAGACACAAAUGGUAUUCAGGUUAUCAAGGGGAUUCUUUAGCCAGGGCUUAAAAACUCAACUUUCUUUCUUUCCAAACCUUGACUGACUGAGAGUCACAUAACAGCAGUGAGCACAGUGAGAAAAGUCCCUGGAUUAGAAGUUGGAAAAUAUGAUUCAGGGUCCUGGUUCUGUUUUAAGAGAGGAAGUGACCAUCAUUAGCAA